rnacentral:rRNA from 1 species
CCUACGGGUGGCUGCAGUCGAGAAUCUUUCGCAAUGGGCGAAAGCCUGACGAAGCGACGCCGUGUGAGCGAAGAAGGCCUUCGGGUUGUAAAGCUCUUUCGCCGUGGAACAAGAGACCAAAACUAAUACUUUUGGAAUUUGAGGGUACUCGGUAAAGAAGCACCGGCUAACUCCGUGCCAGCAGCUGCGGUAAUACGGAGGGUGCAAGCAUUAAUCGGAUUUAUUGGGCGUAAAGGGCGCGUAGGCGGGAAUGUAAGUCAGAUGUGAAAUCCCAAGGCUUAACCUUGGAACUGCAUUUGAAACUGCGUUUCUUGAGGAUAGAAGGAGAAAGUGGAAUUCCACAAGUAGCGGUGAAAUGCGUAGAUAUGUGGAAGAACACCAGUGGCGAAGGCGACUUUCUAUUUUAUUCCUGACGCUGAGGCGCGAAAGCUAGGGGAGCAAACAGGAUUAGAUACCCCUGUAGUCC